UUGGAGGGCAAGUCUGGUGCCAGCAGCCGCGGUAAUUCCAGCUCCAAUAGCGUAUAUUAAAGUUGUUGCAGUUAAAAAGCUCGUAGUUGAAUUUCGGAGUUUGUCGGUUGGUCGGGCUUCACUGUCCGCACUGGCCUGAUGGAUUCCUACCUUCUGAAUAACCAGCAUGCUAUUAAGUUAGUGCGUUGGGGAAGCAGAGCUAUUACCUUGAAAAAAUUAGAGUGCUUAAAGCAGGCUUAUGCUUGAAUAGAUUAGCAUGGAAUAAUAAAAUAGGACGGCAUGGUUCUAUUUUGUUGGUUUCUAGGAUCACCGUAAUGAUUAAUAGGGAUAGUUGGGGGCAUUAGUAUUCAAUUGUCAGAGGUGAAAUUCUUGGAUUUAUUGAAGACUAACUUCUGCGAAAGCAUUUGCCAAGGAUGUUUUCAUUAAUCAAGAACGAAAGUUAGGGGAUCGAAGACGAUCAGAUACCGUCGUAGUCUUAACCAUAAACUAUGCCGACUAGGGAUCGGACGAUGUUAAUUUUUUAAUGACUCGUUCGGCGCCUCACGGGAAACCAAAGUGUUUGGGUUC
rnacentral:rRNA from 1 species